rnacentral:rRNA from 1 species
UACGUAGGCAGCAAGCGUUGUUCGGAAUUACUGGGCGUAAAGAGUGUGUAGGCGGUGCUCUAAGUUCGGUGUGAAAUCUCCCGGCUCAACUGGGAGGGUGCGCCGGAAACUGGGGUGCUGGAGCGCGGGAGAGGAAAGGCGGAAUUCCUGGUGUAGCGGUGAAAUGCGUAGAAUAUCAGGAGGAACACCGGUGGCGAAGGCGGCUUCUGGACA